rnacentral:lncRNA from 1 species
UGAUUAUUUGGACGGACUGUGCUACUCACUUGAUCCUUAUGGUGCCUUUUAGGAAUCGCAAUUGAAGCUUCAGCUUAAGGACACUGUCAGUUCUUCGCCUCGGGAAGAGCUUGAAGCUGAAGAUGCCAACAGCAACGGGAAACCCAUAACAGAGGAAGAAACACUAGAAGUAAAGGAGGAAACUGCUCUUAUGCAGCAGCCAGGUGCUGGUAUGGAUUAUCUGACCGAGGACAAUGAAGCUGCUGCAGACAUGAUCAGAUAUGUAGGACAUGACUCCAACGUCCACCUGAAGUCUUUGAAGUCAGACAUCGUUUCGGUUACAGGGAGGGAGAUGACUGCCACCAAGCCGUCGACUCCUUUUUCACAGAAAGAGUUUGAAGCCCUUGCAAUGCUGGAACACCUGCAAGUGCAGCUCAUAGAAACAGAGAUCCGUGCCCAGAAUGCAGAGGAGAGAUCUGAGGGUCUUGAAGAGAAGCUGGAAGAAGCUCUGCAGAGAAUCAAAGAGCUAGAGAGUGAGCUGGAGAAAGAAGGGAAAGUCACCCCAGAAGCCACACACGAAGAAGGGCAAGAAAAAUAUUUCCAAGAAAAUGUCCCAGAAGUAGAGGCCUGCUUGAGUCCCAAAACUUCUACCUCUGAUGAGUCCGAAGGAUCCGGAGAAAGCGAAUAUUAAAGAACAGUAAUGCCUGAGUAGUUUCUCAGAGCCCAUUCAACUCACCCCUGAUCCACUGCCUUACUUCUCAUUCACUACCCCAACAUCUCUGUGCUAUCUCAGCAUUUAUGCUGUUCUUCUAGCUGGCUCUGCCACUUCUACAUCUGUCUUCUUUGUCCUCUACUGCCUUCCACAGCUCUAAUAUCUUUACAGAUUGUCUUCCUUGUAAUACCAUAGCAACUUUGUCUUUCUCCUGCCUGUGCACCCUCCCUCCCUUCCCUUGCCUUGUGCUUGCCUCUUGGUUGUGUUCAUCAAUCUCUUCUUGCUGCUCUACAUCAUUCUGCCUUAUCCCUGGUGGAUCAUUCAAGUAAAUCAUUUGCACCUCUUUCCUCUUGUACCAAGGUUGGUUUUUUUUCCCCAGUGCCAGCAUGGCUUGGUUGUGUAUCUGAUAAUGGGUACCUCCUUCAUCCCCUGGGCUUUAGAUGAUUCAGUUACCAGCUGACUGGUUAGGAAGAAAUUGUACAGAAAUUGUGCAGAAUUGUAUGGACAAAUUUUUGUUUGUCUUUGAAUGUU